ACCCUACUAUGCCAAAUAGUAAACUUUAACUUACACCUAAAUCGCCAGGGUACUACGAGCUAAGCUUAAAACCCAAAGGACUUGACGGUGCCCCAUACCCCCCUAGAGGAGCCUGUCCUGUAAUCGAUGACCCUCGUUCAACCUCACCACUCUUAGCAUAUCAGCUUGUAUACUUCCGUCGUCAGUCUACCGCAUGAGCGAUCCCCAGUAGACCAAAUGUUCAACCGCCAAUACGUCAGGUCAAAGUGCAGCAAAUAGAGUGGAUAAGAGAUGGGCUACACUUUCUAUCUUAGAAAACACGAAAGAUUAAGUGAAACCUUAGUCAGAAGGCGGAUUUAGUAGUAAAAAGAAGGCAGAGUACUCUUUUUAACCUGGUACUGGAGUGCGUACACACCGCCCGUCACCCUCUUCGUAAGAUAAAAAUCUAGUAAAUAACAAAACUUAACUAAGCAGAAGAGGUAAGUCGUAACAUGGUAAGUGUACCGGAAGGUGUACUUGGAAACGAAAUAUAGCUUAACCAAAGCCU
rnacentral:rRNA from 1 species